rnacentral:rRNA from 1 species
AACGAACGCUGGCGGCAUGCCUAACACAUGCAAGUCGAACGAGACCUUCGGGUCUAGUGGCGCACGGGUGCGUAACGCGUGGGAACCUGCCCUUAGGUUCGGAAUAACUCCCCGAAAGGGGUGCUAAUACCGGAUAAUGUCUUCGGACCAAAGAUUUAUCGCCUUUGGAUGGGCCCGCGUUGGAUUAGCUAGUUGGUAGGGUAAAAGCCUACCAAGGCGACGAUCCAUAGCUGGUCUGUGAGGAUGAUCAGCCACACUGGGACUGAGACACGGCCCAGACUCCUACGGGGGGCAGCAGUGGGGAAUAUUGGACAAUGGGCGAAAGCCUGAUCCAGCAAUGCCGCGUGAGUGAUGAAGGCCUUAGGGUUGUAAAGCUCUUUUACCCGGGAUGAUAAUGACAGUACCGGGAGAAUAAGCUCCGGCUAACUCCGUG